rnacentral:rRNA from 1 species
AAGGGCACCACAAGAACGCGUGGAGCAUGUGGCUUAAUUUGACUCAACGCGGGAAAUCUUACCGGGUCCGGACACACUGAGGAUUGACAGGCAAUAUUAAUAUAUGUCUCAUUCGCAUUUCGGUGUGAUUGUGUACUGUAUUAUGUUAAAUAUGCUAGUCCUUUCAUGAUUAUGUGAUAGGUGGUGCAUGGCCGUUCUUAGUUCGUGGAGUGAUCUGUCUGCUUAAUUGCGUUUCACUAAGGGCCUCUAAACUUACGUGUGUUGCGGCACUUUGACCCCUCUUGCAUUUGCUUAAUUGCAUUGCUUUGAGCGCGCGUCUUAGUUUGCUUUGCUCACACAAUGAGGUCCUGAAAGCAACGAACGUGACCGCAACCUCUUGUUGCCUUUAUACCAAACAUGUUUGCUAUUUUUAUAGCAUUCAUGAAAAAAGGCUUUUUAAACUAGAGGGACCGCUGUUACUUUCUUAAACCAGAGGAAGGUUGCGGCAAUAACAGGUCUGUGAUGCCCUUAGAUGUUCCGGGCUGCACACGUGCUACAAUGAUUAUUGCAGUGAGCAUCUCAUUUUUACACACCGCAUGCGCGAGUCCAUUUAUUCAUUCUCUCGGGAAUGCUUUAAAUGUGUAUCUCUGCGCGCGGUAAAGCCUGCUUCGAAAGUAAGUGGGUAAUCAAUUAGAAGUAAUGAUUUCCUUUUUUAGCACACAUAUAUACGGCGUUUAUACCCGGGUUACCUUGUUGUAACUUUUGUGUGUAUAGAUGUUUUUUCCGUAUGUGCGAUUGUCAAUUCAUGGUGGGGACAGACCAUUGUUAAUUGUUGGUCUCGGUCUUAACUAGGAAUGCCUUGUACGGGUCUUUGGCUCAACAAACCACCCGGAAUACGUCCCUGCCCUUUGUACACACCGCCCGUCGCUCUUACCGAUGGACUUCUCUGUGAGUUUGAGGGACUGGGAACGCAGAAUUUAUUUUGCACACCUAUGGAAACUUAAGCGAACAGUGUGGUCUAAAGGAAAGAGAAGUCGAACAAGGCA